ensembl:lincRNA
AGAACUGAUAACUUCAAGAGCAUCCCUUGCCUGGCCCAUGUCCCAAAUCCGAAUCCGGACCAGCAGACUCGGUCGGCUUUUAAAUGUCCAAUUGACUGGGCGUGCGCCUGGGGCGGUGACCUGGGCGGGGGUCACCUGCCCAGAGAGUGGACACGCAGCCCGGUGCUCCACAUCUCCACUGCCCACGUCCUCCACCCCCUCUCCAUCCCUGUGCCCUCUCUGGAAUUGAGCACCCGCGCCUUGGUGCCCAUCCUGAAGGGAUCCCGACCGCAGCCCCAGCUUGAGGUUAUCUUCAGGGCCAUCAAGAGAACCGUGGGCCUCGGGAGAGAGUGUGUCAAUGUGUCAGGCAAGUCAUUUGUGAGUGGCGCACCACUGUCUUGGGGAAGAUGGCAGGAGUUAGAGACACAACGCCUAUACAGCUGCUUGGAAAGAAAGCUCAAGAAACCUGUACAGGUCUCACUAGAGAUUUAGCUUGGAGGUAAAGUACUUUCCUAGCAUGUACAAACCCAUGAGUUCAACACUCAGCACUAAAUAAAUAAAUAAAUAAAGGAAACAAUUACAGGUAGAUUUAAAAAAAAAAAAGCAUAACUGGAGGGGGAGAAGAAAUCAAACCAAGCUAUUCUAAAACAGACAGAGUGGUAAUAUUAGACACCUGGGGAUUGGUGGCUCUGGGGAGAAUCCAUCAUUGCUUUGGAGAGGCUUCAGUAGUUGGGAGUACAACAGAGUUUAGUGCUUGGGAAUGGACAGCCAAAUGGGGCAAUGGGAAGACAACCCACUCCCAAGAAAAUGUUCUCUGGAGGUCCCAGUCUGAUGCUGCUCUUCUGAGUGUGCAUCUUUGACUAAACUCUCCAGCCUCACUGAGCCUGAACAAGCAAUCAUUUCCACUGUUUUAUUUUUUUUAUAUAGUGAAAACGAAAUUUACAUUAAAACAACAUGCAUUAUGGAGUAGGGUUUUUAAAUGUUUGUGAAUUUCAUUUAAAGGCGCUUUUGAAGAAGUUUCAUAGACUUGUGGGUGGCCUUGUGGGAGCUGGCCUUCCCACUGCUUGUGGUUAAAGGAUUUUCUGGGGACGCUGAGAAGCUUGGAUUUGGAUUGUCUCAGGAGUCCCCUGCCUGUUCCUGUGCAGCUACGGUGAAAAAGUUUCUCCUUUUCCUUUGUAAUUAUAGUUUGGGAAAAAAAUAGCAUCUGCCAGGCUUAAGUGGAAGAAUUUGCUUCUUUUUCUUUUUAAUUGUGGCUUUGAAAAUAAAGCAAUAAAAUGUACCUGUUUUAAAUGUCUAGUUCAGUCAUGCUAAGUGUGUUUGCUUUGUUAGGAAGCUGAUCCCCCAGAACACAUUCAUCUUAUAAAACUGAAAAGCUAUAACCAUGAAGAACAACCUCACCCCCACCCUUACCCUGACUAAGCCUUUGGAAAGACUCAUUCUACUCCUUGCUCCUAUGAAUUCUUCAUGUAAGAUACUUCACGUACGUGGAAUCAUACAAUAUUUGUCUCUCCUUGACUGGCUUAUUUCACUUAGCAUAAUGUCCUAAAGACUAAAGCUGAAUACUUUUCCAGUAUAUGUAGACAUAAUUUAUGGGCAUUUGGGCUGUUUCUACCUCUUGACUACUGGGAAUAAUAAAAAUUUGUUUACUCU